rnacentral:rRNA from 2 species
AAAUUGAAGAGUUUGAUCAUGGCUCAGAUUGAACGCUGGCGGCAGGCCUAACACAUGCAAGUCGAACGGUAACAGGAAGCAGCUUGCUGCUUCGCUGACGAGUGGCGGACGGGUGAGUAAUGUCUGGGAAACUGCCUGAUGGAGGGGGAUAACUACUGGAAACGGUGGCUAAUACCGCAUAACGUCGCAAGACCAAAGAGGGGGACCUUCGGGCCUCUUGCCAUCAGAUGUGCCCAGAUGGGAUUAGCUAGUUGGUGAGGUAACGGC